rnacentral:tRNA from 1 species
AGGGGUGUAGUUCAAUGGUAGAAUAUCGGUCUCCAAAACCGCAGACGGGGGUUCGAAUCCCUCCACCCCUG